GGGGAUGAAAUGGUCUCGACGGGGUGAAUGUAGUACGAAGAAGCAUGCCGAGCUACGCUGGUGGAGCUCGUUAAUACAACCGGCGGAACACAUAAGUGGCAACACUAUGAACUACCGUUUAGCCGCCUAAUCCAUAGGAUAAAGCCGUUAAUCCAUUCGACCAUCGUCGGCCCUUAGGCGAUGAAUCGGGUGUAACUUCUUAAAGGGAUGCUUUCAGGACAUUGAAUCGGUACCUGAAUUAAGAUUAUGAUUCAUCGUAUAAUUGGCCUGUCUAUUGGUGUACGAUUAUACUAAAAUUAUUAAUAGACUGAGCAUGGAGAGGCUUCGGCUGCAGCAUUUCGGACGCGGGUUCGACUCCCGCCAUCUCCAC
rnacentral:tmRNA from 1 species